rnacentral:rRNA from 1 species
UAGGUAGCUUAACCUUCGGGAGGGCGCUUACCACUUUGUGAUUCAUGACUGGGGUGAAGUCGUAACAAGGUAACCGUAGGGGAACCUGCGGUUGGAUCACCUCCUUACCUGAAGAUAC